rnacentral:rRNA from 1 species
CUCGGAGUUUGAUCCUGGCUCAGAUUGAACGCUGGCGGAAUGCUUUACACAUGCAAGUCGAACGGUAGAGGGGGCAACCCCUUGAGAGUGGCGAACGGGUGAGUAAUGUAUCGGAACGUGCCCAGUCGUGGGGGAUAACGUAGUGAAAAUUACGCUAAUACCGCAUACGAUCUAAGGAUGAAAGCGGGGGAUCGCAAGACCCCGCGCGAUUGGAGCGGCCGAUAUCAGAUUAGGUAGUUGGUGAGGUAAAGGCUCACCAAGCCAACGAUCUGUAGCUGGUCUGAGAGGACGACCAGCCACACUGGAACUGAGACACGGUCCAGACUCCUACGGGAGCAACAGUGGGGAAUUUGGACAAUGGACGCAAGUCUGAUCCAGCCAUUCCCGCGU